CGCGACCCUGGUGACAAAGGAAACGAUUCGAGCUAAAGGACCACAACUUCGUCAACGCCCAGCCACCCCAAAUCCCCUCCUAUCGACCACAGCGCCGCCACCGACGUCGGCCGUCUGGCCCAUCCACGCCGAUCCCGCCGUGCUCCUCUUCUCCGCAAAUGCCGCCGUAAGCCUUCGCAUCUGCGGAGCCACCCUUUGGCUCAAAGGUGUACACCCAUGCCACAGAGGCCGGAUCGGGCAGCAGGAACUCGAGGAGGACGACAACACCAAGAUCUCGGGGAGGUGAGCUCGAGGGCAUGACCCAUCUCCUCAAUGCCCCAACCCUCGAACUCCGGCGCCUCAACUCCCACACCGUCUGCGAGUCAAAUCCCUGCGUGCCGCCGACGAAAACUCCCCCUGCAUCUCGCGCUGCCACGACUAACCACCUGUGCGCUGAACCAACUCGCCGCCGGUAGCGCCCCCCUGUCGACGCGACUCCCUCGAGCUCCCUCCCGGUCGUGUCCCUCCAGAUAGGCAGCAACAUCGUCCUCCCGCCGCUGCAGCGGCGCAACGACACGAGGUGUGGAGGGGAAGGGAUAUACAGGUGGAGGAGGGCGGUGGCGGCAAAGGCGGAGGCGGUCGAUGAUACCUGAAAUUCUUUGGAGUUCUUUCGAAUUGAAAGAUCAGGAAAUAAGCUUGUGGUGACUUUGUGAGGUUUUCGCAUUGGACCGUUUGGAACUUCGGAUUGGCAGAGAGCUAGAGACCCUGGUGCUCUGAAGGAUGUUGAAUUUGAUAACAGAAUUUAUUGUUGUUAAAUAUUAUUUGCUUCUUUCAUAUGGAAAAAGUUAGCGUUGUUGGGAGCUCGAUGUUGUAGUGGGCCUUGACAGUGGCAAGUUGGGAGCUGGCGAGGUAGAUGUCGUCCUCGACAAGGGCCGUGACCUCAUCUCCUUUGGCCCCAAGUCCGACUACCACCACAACCAGACAUGCUCCUCCAUAGGCCUUGGAUUACUGUCAGCUACGAGAUUAAGUUCGGAGAAAGGGCCAUUGCCAGCUUCUGUGUUGGUAGGGCGAUUCUUAGGCGCACCAAGAUACUGGUCCUGGACGAAGCCACUGCUUCGGUGGACAGUGCAACUGAUAACCUGAUCCAGAACACACUACAACAUCAUUUCUCAGGGUCAAUUGUCAUCACGACCGUGCAUCGAAUCACCUCGGUCCUUCCUAACGAUAUAGUCUAGAUUCUUGACAAUGGCCUGGCUGUGGAGUCUGGAGCAACCAAGGUCAGCCAAGUUGCUGGAAGACAAAUUUUCUCUGUUCUCAAAGCUUGUGGUGGAAUCCAUGAUGAGGUUGAUACACACUUGAGCUAGCAUCACAAAUGUUAUCAAAAUGAAAUUUUACCUUAUCCAAAUUGUGGUAUGCAAAUAUUAGAAAGCUAGGCGCACUACCGGGCAUUGAAGGAUAUGCUGGAUCUUGACUUAUUUCUGCAGGCGGCGGCACACCAUGAACUAACUGGAGGAGACAAACUAGAUUUGCAGGCUUCUGCAAAGUGCUAGCACCUAGAGUGAUGAGGACAUCAAUAUCAUUGUUACACCCACAACCCCUACUGUUACAUAUAAUGGACCAAUUACUAGAGCUCGCGCACGCCAAUUAAAUUACCAGGUAUUUUCGUUUCUUGGUAAUGAUUCUAAUGUUCAUGAGAAUAUGAUGCUGCCUAAAUUGGAUACUUUUGUUUUGCUUACAAAUGAAGGGCCUGGAUUGGAGAAGGAUGAACAUUGGA